UACAGAGGUCUCAAGCGUUGUUCGGAUUCAUUGGGCGUAAAGGGUGCGUAGGUGGCGCGGUAAGUCGGGCGUGAAAUCUCGGAGCUUAACUCCGAAAUUGCAUUCGAUACUGCCGUGCUCGAGGACUGGAGAGGAGACUGGAAUUCAUGGUGUAGCAGUGAAAUGCGUAGAGAUCAUGAGGAAGACCAGUGGCGAAGGCGGGUCUCUGGACAGUUCCUGACACUGAGGCACGAAGGCCAGGGGAGCAAACGGG
rnacentral:rRNA from 1 species